ensembl:lncRNA
GGGGGGGCGUUCCAGUGCGGGCACAUGAGUCGCCUCCCACCCCCACUCCACAGACGGGCGCUCAGGCGGCAGGGGAGGGGUGCUGGCGGUGCGGGCGGCCUGGCCACUUCCGGCGGGAGUGCCCUAUGAUGGAGGUGGGUCAGGUCGUCCGCGUCACCGGUGCCCCGUCUCCUCCCCACGGUCCCGGCGAGGCGUACCGUAUCCCGACGGACGCGUCGGAUAGGGGGUUGGGCGCGGUCCUGACCCAGCAGGUGGAGGGGGUCAACCGCCCGGUGCUGUACCUGAGCCGGAAAUUAUCAGACCGGGAGGGUCGGUACAGCACGGUGGAAAAGGAGUGUCUCGCCAUCCGGUGGGCGGUCGGCGCCCUCCGCUACUACCUGCUGGGGCGCGCGUUCACCCUCUACUCCGACCACGCCCCCCUCCAGUGGCUCCACCGCAUGAAGGACGUCAACACGAGGAUCACCCGGUGUGAGGUGGGGAAUCCAGGAAGGAUUGGGAGGAGAAAGGAGCCGAUCGCCAACAGAG